AAUAAAAUAGAUUUUUCUCGCAUAUAGUAUAGUCUCAUUAUUAUUUAUAGCAUCUGCAAAUAUAGUUUAAUUUUGGAGUAAAUGAGGGAUAUGUAAUUGUUAAAUCAAAUAAUACAAUUUUAUUAAUUCUAAAUUAAAUAUUAUUCUUUUUCUUCUCUCCACUUGUAUAAACUCAAAAUUGCGAACAGUGUUGAGUUUCUAUUGGUUAUCGUACCUAUUCUAUUAACCGUAUUGCUGUAGAUAUCUGUAAUGUGAGGUUUAUAGCUAGCAUCGGAAUGUAUUGCACAUGAAUGAACGCAACAAAUUAUCUUAUCAGUAUUGAUAACGUUCGGACAGGUUGGCAAAAUUGAACGAUAUUGCAGAAGAAUAAGACAAGUUUUUAAUAGUGCAUCGAGAUGGCAACUGACGGCAGAAGACGCGUCGCAUUAAUUACUGGUAUUACCGGACAAGAUGGUUCCUAUUUAGCUGAAUUCUUAUUGGAAAAAGGAUACGAUGUACAUGGUAUAAUUAGGAGAGCUAGUUCUUUUAAUACUGCCCGAAUUCAACAUCUUUAUGCAGAUCCAAAAUGCCACCGCCAAGGCAGAAUGAAGCUUCAUUAUGGUGAUAUGACAGAUUCCAGUAGUUUAGUUAAAGUGAUUAGUUCUGUGCAACCAACAGAGAUUUAUAAUCUUGCUGCUCAAAGUCAUGUCAUGGUAAGUUUUGAAGUAAGUGAAUAUACUGCUGAAGUAGAUGCAGUAGGAACAGUUAGAUUAUUAGAUGCAAUACGUACUUGUGGCCUUGAAAAAUCUGUAAAAUUUUACCAUGCGUCAACAUCUGAACUUUAUGGCAGAGUAACUCAAGUACCACAAAAUGAAAAAACUCCAUUUUACCCUCGUUCACCGUAUGCUUGCGCAAAAUUAUAUAGCUUCUGGAUUGUGGUAAACUAUAGAGAAGCAUAUAAUAUGUUUGCAUGUAAUGGUAUAUUAUUUAAUCAUGAAAGUCCUCGUAGAGGAGAGAACUUUGUUACAAGAAAAGUAACUAGAUCUAUAGCGAAGAUACAGUUAGGUUUACAAGAUGUUCUUGAACUAGGAAAUUUAGAUGCUAAACGAGAUUGGGGACAUGCAAAAGAUUAUGUUGAAGCAAUGUGGUUGAUGUUGCAACAGCCAAUUCCGGAUGAUUAUGUUAUAGCAACAGGAGAAACGCAUAGUGUUAGAGAAUUUGUGGAGGCAGCAUUUCUAUAUGUAGGUCGUACUAUUAAGUGGGAAGGUGAAGGUAUAAACGAAAUAGGACAGGAUGCACAAACAGGACAAGUAUUGGUUAAAGUAAAUCCUAAAUAUUUCCGUCCGACGGAAGUCGAUGUACUUUUGGGUGAUGCUAAUAAAGCGAAGGAAAAAAUUGGCUGGAAACCUACUGUUACGUUUGAGGGUCUUGUAAAGGAUAUGAUGGAUUCUGAUUUAGAACUAAUGAGAAAAAAUUCAAAUGCCUGAAAUCAUUGUUUAUUGAUGAUAAGAAGUUGAUAAGGGAGAAGCUGAAAUUAUCAAGAUAAAGAUAUGAUAGAAGUUAAUGCAUUUUUAAAAUACAUUCUAUGUCUCCAUGAGACAAUAAUAUUUAAAAAUAUCGGAAGGUAAACAAAUUGGCCAAACUGAAGACAUCCAACGCAAAGUAAACGAAAGAGGUCGAUUUACGUCUUCCGUCCACAAUAUUAAUAAACUUAAACUUACAUAUGUAAAGAAAUAAUACAAAAUUUUCUUAUAUCAUCUACCUAAUUAAAAGAGAGACACACUUGUGUCAUUUUUCCACUGAUAUCCUCAAUUGUACUUCUUAAUAAAAAUAAUUACUUUUGCUGAUUGCUUAACUUGCUUUGUUAAAAUGACACGACUGGUUCUUCUAGGUGUUAAACGUUGUAUAAUGCUUUUAAGAUUGGAAACACUGAACCGCCUCGAACUGGUCCGAGUUCGUAUACGUCGAUGACUGACUACGAUUUGCGGCUGGUUAGACCAAUUCUCUAACGAAGGGUGUUUAAUUUGACUUGGAGAUUCAGAGGAUGGACCAGCUCCGCCCAUCGUGGCUUCCUGGAGGAUCGGGCAACCGCAGAAGCCUUUCCUCUUUAUCGGCGAUACUGCCCCGCAAGCGCAGGCGGUCUUGUUUGCGGAUCGUUUCGUUUUACUGCCCAGUAUCCGCUCGAAUCUAAACAAUCGUUCCUUAUUGACAAAAUCGGCGGGCGUCUGCGGCUUAGCCAGUUUCGGAUUGUUGCUUCUGCGACGUUUUACGAGUGUGGGAAAAUUCACAGCGCGAGCCAGAACCACGUCGUUCCGGUAAACCAUUUCGCCUCAGGGCCCCGGCUAAAUCGCAAAAAAUAAACGAACAGUCCCUCGUGGUGGUGAAUUUUCUUGGAAAUAACGAGCAUCGCUAUCUUGCUGCGGUUAUAUCAGACCUUGAAAACGGACAACGCGAUCGAAGAAUCUGGGCCGUUCAUCAGCUUGCUUAAGGAUUCCUGGCUGAAGAUGGAAUAUUCUAAAACGAUCAAAUAAUUCUUAAAAAUUAUCAUCCUGUAUAAUCAAUUAAUAUUAAUAUUAUUAUAUAUCGUUAUGUAUGGAUCAUUGACAAUUAUAUUAAAUAAUAAAUUAUAUUUUUACCUUGA